AUUCCAGCUCCAAUAGCGUAUGUUAAAGUUGUUGCGGCUAAAAAGCUCGUAGUUGGAUUUCUGUUGAGGACAUCUGGUCCGCUCUAUGAGCGUGCAUCUAGUUUGGCCUCGGCAUCCUCUCGAUAGACGUUUCUGCGCUUGAUUGCGUGGAGCGGAUUUCGGGACUUUUACUUUGAGGAAAUUAGAGUGUUCACGGCAGGCUAUCGCCAGAAUACAUUAGCAUGGAAUAAUACUAUAGGAUCUCGGUUCUAUUUUGUUGGUUUCUAGACCCGGGGUAAUGAUUAAUAGGGACAAUUGGGGGCAUUUGUAUCAACACGUCAGAGGUGGAAUUCUUGGAUUGUGUUGCGACAAACUACUGCGAAAGCAUUUGCCAAGGAUGUUUUCAUUGAUCAAGAACGAAAGUAAGGGGAUCGAAGACGAUUAGAUACCGUCGUAGUCUUUACCAUAAACUAUGCCGACUAGAGAUGGGGCAUCGUUCACUUACGACUUGCUCCGCAUCUUAUGAGAUAUCAAAGUCUUUGGGUUCCGGGGGGAGUAUGGUCGCAAGUCUGAAACUUAAAGGAAUUGACGGAAGGGCACCACCAGGAGUGGAGCCUGCGGCUUAAUUUGACUCAACACGGGGAAACUCACCAGGUCCAGACAUAAUAAGGAUUGACAGAUUGAUAGCUCUUUCUUGAUUUUAUGGGUGGUGGUGCAUGGCCGUUCUUAGUUCGUGGAGUGAUUUGUCUGCUUAAUUGCGUUAACGAACGAGACCUUAACCUGCUAAAUAGAAGCGCAUAUCUUCGGAUAAGCGCCUUUCUUCUUAGAGGGACUUUAUGCGUUUCAGCAUGAGGAAGUUUGAGGCUAAA
rnacentral:rRNA from 1 species